CUUGGACGGUGGUAGCCAUUGCUACGUGUUCUCGACAGGUCCAUGUUUCGUUUCAGGUACAAAGGUGUGAAUCCGUUGGUGAGACCACCAGAACCAAACUCCUCUUCCUUUUGACAAGUGUCCAGACUUUCGAAGCUACGUCCUGCUCGAGGCUGUCUGGCGACGUGUUCUCAGGAUGAGAGGCGUUUGAUCGAUUAGGAUAUUCCAGCGAAUCGAAGCUGUAACUGGACGGCGACAGUGUGGCACAGGUCCUUUCUAAGGAUUCGAAUUGCAAUAGAGAG
rnacentral:misc_RNA from 1 species